rnacentral:rRNA from 1 species
ACGGAAGGCAGCAGUGGGGAAUAUUGGACAAUGGGGGAAACCCUGAUCCAGCGACGCCGCGUGAGUGAGGAAGUAUUUCGGUAUGUAAAGCUCUAUCAGCAAGGAAGAAAAUGACGGUACUUGACUAAGAAGCCCCGGCUAACUACGUGCCAGCAGCCGCGGUAAUAUGUAGGGGGCAAGCGUUAUCCGGAUUUACUGGGUGUAAAGGGAGCGUAGACGGCAUAGCAAGUCUGAAGUGAAAUGCAUGGGCUCAACCCAUGAACUGCUUUGGAAACUGUUAAGCUAGAGUGCAGGAGAGGUAAGUGGAAUUCCUAGUGUAGCGGUGAAAUGCGUAGAUAUUAGGAGGAACACCAGUGGCGAAGGCGGCUUACUGGACUGUAACUGACGUUGAGGCUCGAAAGCGUGGGGAGCAAACAGGAUUAGAUACCCUGGUA